UUGGCUAAAGUGUCUUGGCUAAUGUGUCUCGGCUAAGGUGUCUUGGCUAAUGUGUCUUGGCUAAGGUGUCUUGGCUAAGGUGUCUUGGCUAAGGUGUCUUGGCUAAUGUGUCUUGGCUAAAGUGUCUUGGCUAAAGUGUCUUGGCUAAGGUGUCUUGGCUAAUGUGUCUUGGCUAAUGUGUCUUGGCUAAUGUGUCUUGGCUAAGGUGUCUUGGCUAAUGUGUCUCGGCUAAGGUGUCUUGGCUAAGGUGUCUUGGCUAAGGUGUCUUGGCUAAGGUGUCUUGGCUAAUGUGUCUCGGCUAAGGUGUCUUGGCUAAGGUGUCUUGGCUAAUGUGUCUUGGCUAAAGUGUCUUGGCUAAGGUGUCUUGGCUAAGGUGUCUUGGCUAAGGUGUCUUGGCUAAGGUGUCUCGGCUAAUGUGUCUUGGCUGAGGUGUCUCGGCUAAUGUGUCUUGGCUAAUGUGUCUUGGCUAAGGUGUCUUGGCUAAGGUGUCUUGGCUAAAGUGUCUCGGCUAAUGUGUCUUGGCUUAUGUGUCUUGGCUAAUGUGUCUUGGCUUAGGUGUCUUGGCUAAUGUGUCUUGGCUAAUGUGUCUUGGCUAAUGUGUCUUGGCUAAUGUGUCUUGGCUAAUGUGUCUUGGCUAAUGUGUCUUGGCUAAUGUGUCUUGGCUAAUGUGUCUUGGCUAAGGUGUCUUGGCUAAGGUGUCUUGGCUAAGGUGUCUUGGCUAAUGUGUCUUGGCUAAUAAGUCUUGGCUAAGGUGUCUUGGCUAAGGUGUCUUGGCUAAGGUGUCUUGGCUAAUGUGUCUUGGCUAAUGUGUCUUGGCUAAGGUGUCUUGGCUAAGGUGUCUUGGCUAAGGUGUCUUGGCUAAUGUGUCUUGGCUAAGGUGUCUUGGCUAAUGUGUCUCGGCUAAUGUGUCUUGGCUAAUGUGUCUUGGCUAAAGUGUCUUGGCUAAAGUGUCUUGGCUAAGGUGUCUUGGCUAAGGUGUCUUGGCUAAUGUGUCUUGGCUAAGGUGUCUUGGCUAAGGUGUCUUGGCUAAUGUGUCUUGGCUAAGGUGUCUUGGCUAAUGUGUCUUGGCUAAGGUGUCUUGGCUAAUGUGUCUCGGCUAAUGUGUCUUGGCUAAGGUGUCUUGGCUAAUGCGUCUUGGCUAAUGUGUCUUGGCUAAAAUGUCUUGGCUAAGGUGUCUUGGCUAAGGUGUCUUGGCUAAGGUGUCUUGGCUAAGGUGUCUUGGCUAAGGUGUCUUGGCUUGGUUGUCUUGGCUAAUGUGUCUCGGCUAAGGUGUCUUGGCUAAUGUGUCUUGGCUAAGGUGUCUUGGCUAAUGUGUCUUGGCUAAGGUGUCUUGGCUAAGGUGUCUUGGCUAAGGUGUCUUGGCUAAUGUGUCUCGGCUAAGGUGUCUUGGCUACUGUGUCUUGGCUAAGGUGUCUUGGCUAAGGUGUCUUGGCUAAUGUGUCUUGGCUAAUGUGUCUUGGCUAAUUUGUCUUGGCUAAUGUGUCUUGGCUAAUGUGUCUUGGCUAAUGUGUCUUGGCUAAGGUGUCUUGGCUAAGGUGUCUUGGCUAAUGUGUCUUGGCUAAUGUGUCUUGGCUAAGGUGUCUUGGCUAAGGUGUCUUGGCUAAGGUGUCUUGGCUAAGGUGUCUUGGCUAAGGUGUCUUGGCUAAUGUGUCUCGGCUAAGGUGUCUUGGCUAAGGUGUCUUGGCUAAGGUGUCUUGGCUAAGGUGUCUUGGCUAAUGUGUCUUGGCUAAGGUGUCUUGGCUAAUGUGUCUCGGCUAAUGUGUCUUGGCUAAGGUGUCUUGGCUAAUGUGUCUUGGCUAAAGUGUCUUGGCUAAAGUGUCUUGGCUAAGGUGUCUUGGCUAAGGUGUCUUGGCUAAGGUGUCUUGGCUAAUGUGUCUCGGCUAAGGUGUCUUGGCUAAGGUGUCUUGGCUAAGGUGUCUUGGCUAAGGUGUCUUGGCUAAUGUGUCUCGGCUAAGGUGUCUUGGCUAAUGUGCCUCGGCUAAGGUGUCUUGGCUAAGGUGUCUUGGCUAAGGUGUCUUGGCUAAGGUGUCU